rnacentral:tRNA from 1 species
UCUAACGUGGCAGAUAAGUGCAUUGGAUUUAAGCUCCAUAAAUAAAGUUAAAACUUUCAUUAGAA